GAUGAACGCUGGCGGUAUGCCUAACACAUGCAAGUCGAACGGGUGUCCUUCGGGACAUUAGUGGUGGACGGGUGAGUAACGCGUGAGAAUCUGCCUUCAGGAUGGGGACAACAAUUGGAAACGAUUGCUAAUACCCGAUAUGACGAAAGUUGAAAGAUUUAUCGCCUGGAGAUGAGCUCGCGUCAGAUUAGCUAGAUGGUGUGGUAACGGCGCACCAUGGCGACGAUCUGUAGCUGGUCUGAGAGGAUGAGCAGCCACACUGGGACUGAGACACGGCCCAGACUCCUACGGGAGGCAGCAGUGGGGAAUUUUCCGCAAUGGGCGCAAGCCUGACGGAGCAAUACCGCGUGAGGGAGGAAGGCUCUUGGGUCGUAAACCUCUUUUCUCAGGGAGGAACACAAUGACGGUACCUGAGGAAUCAGCAUCGGCUAACUCCGUGCCAGCAGCCGCGGUAAUACGGAGGAUGCAAGCGUUAUCCGGAAUGAUUGGGCGUAAAGCGUCCGUAGGUGGUUCUGUAAGUCUGUGGUUAAAGCGUGGGGCUCAACCCCAUAUCGGCCAUGGAAACUACAAGACUUGAGUAAAGUAGGGGUAGAGGGAAUUCCCAGUGUAGCGGUGAAAUGCGUAGAGAUUGGGAAGAACACCGGUGGCGAAAGCGCUCUACUGGACUUAAACUGACACUGAGGGACGAAAGCUAGGGGAGCGAAAGGGAUUAGAUACCCCUGUAGUCCUAGCCGUAAACGAUGGAUACUAGGUGUUGCCCG
rnacentral:rRNA from 1 species